rnacentral:lncRNA from 1 species
AUUUACUAAAAGCAAAAUAGGGUUAACUCUAUUAAUCAUAAUUAUUUUAACAUAAUAUAAAUAAAACAGUGGGGAUGAAAUCAAUUAUAGGAAAAUCAUAAUUUUCUCAGAAGACAAAAAUCAUGAUUGUAAGCCAAACAAUGGGCAAUUCCUGGUAAAAAUCUUAGGUAUGAAAAGAAACAGAAUAUUCUUAAAAAAAUAAAUGUGGGCAGAAACGAGUGCAAGGCAGCAGCAACAGUAACACAACAGUAAAAUCAGCAGAUAAAA